UCGAACGGGUAACAGGGUGUAGCAAUACAUGCCUGACGAGUGGCGCACGGGUGCGUAACACGUAUGUAACUUGCCUCUAACUGGGGGAUAGCUUCGAGAAAUCGAAAUUAAUACCCCAUAGUAAUAAGAUCAGGCAUCUGGUUUUAUUUAAAGAAUUUCGGUUAGAGAUAGACAUGCGUCCUAUUAGCUUGUUGGUGAGGUAACGGCUCACCAAGGCUACGAUAGGUAGGGGGCCUGAGAGGGUUUACCCCCACACUGGAACUGAGACACGGUCCAGACUCCUACGGGAGGCAGCAGUGAGGAAUAUUGGUCAAUGGGCGCAAGCCUGAACCAGCCAUGCCGCGUGCAGGAUGAAGGCCCUAUGGGUUGUGAACUGCUUUUCUCUGGGAAUAAACCCCUUUACGUGUAAAGGGCUGAAGGUACCAGAGGAAUAAGGACCGGCUAACUUCGUGCCAGCAGCCGCGGUAAUACGAAGGGUCCAAGCGUUAUCCGGAUUUAUUGGGUUUAAAGGGUGCGCAGGCGGGACCUUAAGUCAGUGGUGAAAUCUCGUAGCUCAACUACGAAACUGCCAUUGAUACUGAGGUUCUUGAAUGUAGUUGACGUUAGUGGAAUGUGUCAUGUAGCGGUGAAAUGCUUAGAUAUGACACAGAACACCGAUCGCGAAGGCAGCUAACGAAGCUAUUAUUGACGCUCAGGCACGACAGCAUGGGGAGCAAACAGGAUUAGAUACCCUGGUAGUCCAUGCCGUAAACGUUGAUCACUCGACAUUGGCGAUAUACUGUCAGUGUCCAAGCGAAAGUGUUUAGUGAU
rnacentral:rRNA from 1 species